rnacentral:misc_RNA from 1 species
GCAAACUUGGUCAUUUAGAGGAAGUAAAAGUCGUAACAAGGUUUCCGUAGGUGAACCUGCGGAAGGAUCAUCAUUGAAUCUAUUCUCAUAAACCUUUGUGAACCGUAUGUGUAAGAGCUUGUUGGUGGGAAGGAUGCCGUCGGGGAUGCCCCUGUGCGCACCGCGUCUUGGAUCUCGGGCCAGGUGCCUGCCAGCAUGCUCGCAUUUUAACAAACUUUUAAAACAUCCACUGAUAAAAUUUGUUUAAUAAAAACAACUUUCAACAAUGGAUCUCUUGGUUCUCGCAUCGAUGAAGAACGCAGC